rnacentral:lncRNA from 1 species
CUUUAAGUUUCCAUGACAUAAAUAUCAGCUGACAUACACACAAGGUGACUCACCUUCUUCCCAUUAAACUAGGUUGAGAUUAAAAACAAACAAGCAAACAGCUGGAAUGUGGCACGUGGGUCAGACCCUUCUGAGUCCAGUUGGGUAACUCAGCAGAGAUCAGAAUGAUCUUCAAAAACCAACAAGCCAUUGGCACGUAUCUUCAGGCAUGCUUGAAGUCUAUGGGGCCAAAUGGUAGAGUAUCCUGGCAGAGCCAAAAAGUCUUCUUUUAUGACACAGAAAAGAAAACUUCUUUCAAAGUAGUUAUGCAACCCAGGAGAACACAAUGCAUCCACUGUGUGUGUCCUGGGGCUGUCUAUGAACACAUGAUUUCAUAUUUUUGUCCUCUGUAAACUUCAGCAUUGAUGAUGAACAUUAUUUCAAGGAAAUAUCCCACUACUUUAUCUCUGUAAAGACAUCCAUAGAGAAUGGGCCUUUUAGAAAAUCUCACACCACUUCCUAGUUGGAGCAAUUAAACAAUAGAGAAGAUGGGUAUUCUGGAGCAGAAUUUAAUGAAACAGAACUCCACCAUCUAUGGCAAGUUUGACUGCUUGAGUCUCCAGAGGAUAAUAGUUGGAGGCCACUGAGGCCCAAAUUCAUCAGUCCGGCCAUUGAAGGACACAAGUGAACAAAGGAGGACGGCAAAGACAGAACUGUGAUAUUCAAACACUCAAUAGCUCACAGUGUCGGGGUUCAUUAUGACACUUACUAAGCACAUGCCAUAUUUCUGACACUGUGCUAAGAGUUUCAUGAACAUUAACUAAAUUAACCCCAUAAAAACGCCAUUAGAAAGAUGCAGUUUUGUACCCCCUUACACAGAUGAAGAAAAUAAAGUAUAGAGACUUUAAGAAAUUUGCCAGAAGUCUUAUAACUGAUUGGUUUGCCAUGGCUCUUUGAAACAGUUACUCUUGUCCUCAUUGUAGAGAUGGCGAUACUAAGGCAGAAUAUGGCUAGCCUGGACUUCUUUUUGUGGAGACUGGAUUCCAAGAUUGAAAGUAGAAGCUACAUGUUUUCUCCAAGCAGGGCUUUCAGACUUCACUUCUGCAACAUUUUAUUGAUGAAAGCAAGUCACAAGACCAGACUGAUUCAAGGGGUGGAGAAAUAGACCCUACUUCUUGAUGGAGGGAGGAGUAGAGUUACAUUGCAAAGGGAUCUGGACAAAAAAAGGAGUGAUUUAUUAGGAAUCAUGUUUAACAAUUUACCACAAUCCCCAGCGCAACUGCCUGUUAGCUGGAUCCAGAAAUGUCUACGACUACUGCAAUGCCACUUGGCCUUAGGGGUGAUGUGACCCAGUGUAAAGAGAUGGUGGUCUUAACCAAUCACAGUUAAGAUAGUUUAGUUUUGGAAGGUAUAAAAAAUAUGUAACAACAUGAAUGCACUUUUAGGGUCAGACAAGAGACUUGGAAAGAGCCUGCAAAAUGGAGGAGCCCUGAGGCCUAAGUCUCAUGAGUGUCAAUGCUUACCUGUAUCUAGACACUGGCAUCCCCCUUUUGAUAAGGCCAAGAUUGAUUGUUUUCCUUUUCUACCUACCCUAUAUCUAAUCCAUGUACAAACACUGUUGACACACAAAAGAACCCUAAAUUCAACAAUCUGUGAAGAAUUUUUGCACUAACAUGUUAGUUCAAAAACUCAACAUUGCUUGCUAAGACUAUUGCAAUAAACUCCUCUAUGAUCCCCUAA